rnacentral:lncRNA from 1 species
AAGUCCAAGCUUCCUCAUGAAGAGGAUCACAUCAAGAGUGAAGCCAAAGCCAAAGCCACAGGAAGCACAGCCAGAAUGGGGACAUAGGAACGAGGGGGCUCCCAUGAGUUGACCUGACAGCUGAGAGAUGGCGACCUAGACCUUGGGGUCAAAAUAUACUACGUUUUCGUUAAUCCAUGAUUCAACCUGAAGAAGAAGGAAAGAACUGGACAUCCAGAUUAGUACAUCGAUAGCGAAGAAAAAAAGAGGAGGGAGCACACAGGUGAGCAGGUGCAGGAACCAGCCGGACAAUUUAGUGCCAGCAGGAUUGAACUCCGAACAGGCCCCACUGCAGUAUCCAGGUGGGAGUGCCUGUGACUUCUGAAGCCACAGAGGCAUUCUUUUGCUACUUACAUGGUGGAACUCCUUGAACAGAAUAACAGACCAUAGUGCCUGCCUGGAAUUCAGACUGGAAAAGAUUGAAAUAUCUGUAUAGUUCAUAUAUCUGAAACACUGACUUCAUCUCACUCAUGAGAAUUCAACAGUUACGCUAAAGAUUGUGUUAUGGGAGCUCCUAGAG